rnacentral:rRNA from 1 species
UACGUAGGUGGCAAGCGUUGUCCGGAUUUAUUGGGUUUAAAGGGUGCGUAGGCGGUUUUCUAAGUCAGCAGUGAAAUACGGCAGCUCAACUGUCGAGGUGCUGUUGAUACUGGGGGAACUUGAGUACUGAUGAGGUAGGCGGAAUGGACGGUGUAGCGGUGAAAUGCUUAGAGAUCGUCCAGAACACCGAUAGCGAAGGCAGCUUACUAAGGAGUAACUGACGCUGAGGCACGAAAGUGUGGGGGAUCAAACAGG